rnacentral:rRNA from 1 species
CCGGGCUUAAAUUGCAGAGGGAAGGAUGCAGAGAUGCUGACGCCUUUUCGGGGCCUCUGUGAAAGGUGCUGCAUGGUUGUCGUCAGCUCGUGCCGUGAGGUGUCGGCUUAAGUGCCAUAACGAGCGCAACCCUUGCUGUCAGUUGCCAUCAGGUAGAGCUGGGCACUCUGGCGGGACUGCCAUCGCAAGAUGUGAGGAAGGUGGGGAUGACGUCAAAUCAGCACGGCCCUUACGUCCGGGGCUACACACGUGUUACAAUGGGGGGUACAGAAUGUUGCUUACGGGUGACCGUUGGCGGAUCAUUAAAUCCCCUCUCAGUUCGGACUGGAGUCUGCAACCCGACUCCACGAAGCUGGAUUCGCUAGUAAUCGCGCAUCAGCCAUGGCGCGGUGAAUACGUUCCCGGGCCUUGUACACACCGCCCGUCAAGCCAUGAAAGCCGGGGGCGCCUGAAGUCCGUUACCGCGAGGAUCGGCCUAGGGCGAAACUGGUAAUUGGGGCGAAGAAGUAAAAAGGUA